CCAGAUCGUCAGCUAAGGUCCCUAAAUGUAAGUUAAGUGGUAAAGGAUGUGGGAUUGCACAGACAACCAGGAUGUUGGCUUAGAAGCAGCCACUCAUUCAAAGAGUGCGUAAUAGCUCACUGGUCGAGUGAUCCUGCGCCGAAGAUUUCCGGGGCUAAAACUUACUACCGAAGCUACGGCAUCAGUAAUGAUGGGUAGGGGAGCUUCCCAUACGGGUUGAAGCAUGACCGUAAGGACAUGUGGACAGUAUGGGAGUGAGAAUGUUGGCAUGAGUAGCGAGAUGUGGGUGAGAAUCCCACAGGCCGUAAACCCAAGGUUUCCAGGG
rnacentral:rRNA from 1 species